UUCCUGGGAGCAUUCAUCUCCACAGUUAUGUAUCCUUUCAAUGUCAUCAAAGCUCAUCAACAAUGUCAGGUGGGCGGGCCAUUCCUGUCCAUGCGGACCACUUUCUGGCAUGUGUACCAUGCUAGAGGCAGUCGUCUCAGGGGUCUCUUCAAUGGUGCUCAUGUUAAUUACACUCGUGCACUAGUUUCUUGGGGAAUCAUAAAUGCAUCAUAUGAAAUGCUUCACAAGCUACUGUAUAGUUAACAUCAGGAAUUGUAUAUAGCAGAUUUGUAGAUUCCUUAUCUCCUUUUUUCAUUCAAGUGUUAAUUGUGUUCUGAAUGAUGAUGAAGACAUUUACAAAAUGACUUUAUUUAGGGGAGCAGGUUGUUGUAUGUUAUGAAUUUUGUUAUUCACCAUUAUACCCUUUCAUUAACCAUAGGCUAUGUUCAUAUCUUAAAUUUUCUACCCCCACCCCCAAAUCAUUCAACAGACAUGAACAUGUACAUAUAUACACUCCUAUGAACACGUGUGCACCACACACCUGCACACACACACACACACCUGCACACACACACACACCUGCACACACACACACACACACACACACACACACACACACACACACACACACACACACACACACAACUGUUCAUGAACCUUUAGCAAUUGUCGGGUAAAUUGUGUUGACAGUAAAAUAUGGAGGAAUAUUGAGCAGUAAAGAGAGAAAUAAAGAUUUAUUUCUGUCUUGAGCAUUUAGGUAGCAAUAAAAACAAUCGCUAAUGAGAUGCUGUUCUUGAAUGUGAGAUGUAUGGUUAAAUUUUAUAUGCUAUGUAAAUUGAUAUUAUGAUAUAAAGAUAAUAUGUACUUUGUAAAUGUGAAAUUAGAGAGACUUACAUGAUAGAUGUGAAGUUGUGUAAAAAGAAAUGUAAAUACAUGUUAAUGGUUAUUGAA
rnacentral:lncRNA from 1 species